rnacentral:lncRNA from 1 species
GGGUUAAACAUGUUUGUGAGAUCUCAACCCUCCCCUAUACCUCUAGCCAAUGCAGAAAAGUAAACGCAUAACAAUACGCACAUUAAAAUUCAGUUCAAGAGAAGUCCGAGUCUGAUGUCAGAAGAUGUAACCAAAGAAAAUAAACAAAAUGACAAUAAUACAUAAAUAACAUCAGACUACUAGCAGUUAACUGACAUGCCAGCUCCGGACUUCAAUUAAACUGAUUGAAAAAGUAUGUCUUCAUCAUAUGAAUAUCAGG